GAUGAACGCUGGCGGCGUGCCUAAUACAUGCAAGUCGAGCGAACAGACGAGGAGCUUGCUCCUCUGACGUUCGCGGCGGACGGGUGAGUAACACGUGGAUAACCUACCUAUAAGACUGGGAUAACUUCGUGAAACCGGAUCUAAUACCGGAUAAUAUAUUGAACCGCAUGGUUCAAUAGUGAAAGACGGUUUUGCUGUCACUUAUAGAUGGAUCCGCGCCGCAUUAGCUAGUUGGUAAGGUAACGGCUUACCAAGGCAACGAUGCGUAGCCGACCUGAGAGGGUGAUCGGCCACACUGGACCUGAGACACGGUCCAGACUCCUACGGGAGGCAGCAGUAGGGAAUCUUCCGCAAUGGGCGAAAGCCUGACGGAGCAACGCCGCGUGAGUGAUGAAGGUCUUCGGAUCGUAAAACUCUGUUAUUAGGGAAGAACAAAUGUGUAAGUAACUAUGCACGUCUUGACGGAACCUAAUCAGAAAGCCACGGCGAACUACGU
rnacentral:rRNA from 1 species